AGUGAACGCUGGCGGUAGGCCUAACACAUGCAAGUCGAACGGCAGCACAGUAAGAGCUUGCUCUUACGGGUGGCGAGUGGCGGACGGGUGAGGAAUACAUCGGAAUCUACUUUUUCGUGGGGGAUAACGUAGGGAAACUUACGCUAAUACCGCAUACGACCUACGGGUGAAAGCAGGGGAUCUUCGGACCUUGCGCGAUUGAAUGAGCCGAUGUCGGAUUAGCUAGUUGGCGGGGUAAAGGCCCACCAAGGCGACGAUCCGUAGCUGGUCUGAGAGGAUGAUCAGCCACACUGGAACUGAGACACGGUCCAGACUCCUACGGGAGGAAGCAGUGGGGAAUAUUGGACAAGGGGCGCAAGCCUGAUCCAGCCAUACCGCGUGGGUGAAGAAGGACUUCGGGUUGUAAAGCCCUUUUGUUGGGAAAGAAAAGCAGCAGGUUAAUACCCCGCUGUUCUGACGGUACCCAAAGAAUAGGCACCGGCUAACUUCGUG
rnacentral:rRNA from 1 species